rnacentral:rRNA from 1 species
UGGGAGCUUGCUCCCUGAUGUUAGCGGCGGACGGGUGAGUAACACGUGGGUAACCUGCCUGUAAGACUGGGAUAACUCCGGGAAACCGGGGCUAAUACCGGAUGGUUGUUUGAACCGCAUGGUUCAAACAUAAAAGGUGGCUUCGGCUACCACUUACAGAUGGACCCGCGGCGCAUUAGCUAGUUGGUGAGGUAACGGCUCACCAAGGCAACGAUGCGUAGCCGACCUGAGAGGGUGAUCGGCCACACUGGGACUGAGACACGGCCCAGACUCCUACGGGAGGCAGCAGUAGGGAAUCUUCCGCAAUGGACGAAAGUCUGACGGAGCAACGCCGCGUGAGUGAUGAAGGUUUUCGGAUCGUAAAGCUCUGUUGUUAGGGAAGAACAAGUACCGUUCGAAUAGGGCGGUACCUUGACGGUACCUAACCAGAAAGCCACGGCUAACUACGUGCCAGCAGCCGCGGUAAUACGUAGGUGGCAAGCGUUGUCCGGAAUUAUUGGGCGUAAAGGGCUCGCAGGCGGUUUCUUAAGUCUGAUGUGAAAGCCCCCGGCUCAACCGGGGAGGGUCAUUGGAAACUGGGGAACUUGAGUGCAGAAGAGGAGAGUGGAAUUCCACGUGUAGCGGUGAAAUGCGUAGAGAUGUGGAGGAACACCAGUGGCGAAGGCGACUCUCUGGUCUGUAACUGACGCUGAGGAGCGAAAGCGUGGGAGCGAACAGGAUUAGAUACCCUGGUAGUCCACGCCGUAAACGAUGAGUGCUAAGUGUUAGGGGGUUUCCGCCCCUUAGUGCUGCAGC